rnacentral:tRNA from 1 species
GGGCACAUAGCUCAGCUGGUUAGAGCGUUGCGUUCACAUCGCAAAGGUCUCUGGUUCGAAUCCAGAUGUGCCCA